rnacentral:rRNA from 1 species
UAACACCAGCGCCACAAGUGGGAACCGUUUAUUUGGCCUAAAGCGUCCGUAGCCGGUCUAAUAAAUCUUUUGUGAAAUCGUUAUGCUUAACUUAACGGUGUGCAAGAGAGACUGUUAGACUCGGAACCGGGAGGAGUUAGAAGUAUUUUAGGGGGAGCGGUAAAAUGCUAUAAUCCCUAACAGACUACCUGUGGCGAAGGCGUCUAACUAGAACGGAUUCGACGGUGAGGGACGAAAGCUAGGGGAGCGAUCCGGAUUAGAUACCCGAGUAGUCCUAGCUGUAAACUCUGCGAGUUAGGUGUUGCAUAUUCUUCGUGAAUGUGCAGUGUCGUAGCGAAGGCGUUAAACUCGCCGCCUGGGAAGUAUGGUCGCAAGACUG